rnacentral:lncRNA from 1 species
UUAAUUAAUGUUUUCAUUUUCCCUGCAUCAAAAAUUUACUUGCAAUAUAUAAGAAGUAAAGAACUGCCAGCAGAGCAGGUGGUUCUAGCAUAGCUCACACGCUACGAUCAAUGCUGGUUUUCAGCUGCUUGUACCACGAGUUAUUGGCUGUCUAAAAAAACCUCAAAAAGAUAGUAGACUGACUGAAAUACAUUACAUAGACAAAGCAAUAACUAGUGAAUCACUCAGUGUGUAGGAGUAUCUGUCCCCUGUUGGGCCCUACCCACUAAAAGGAUUUGUGGGAUUCAAGCUGGUACUACCUGUCACAUUAAUUCUGUGAUCUAGCAACUAUACAUAAUCACCCUUGUCACAAACAAUAUUUCUGUAACUGAAAACACAGGUAGUGAUACAGACAAUUAUGGUUCAAAGAUGAGAAACAAAAUGAUCUCCAAGAUGAUGUGUUUAGAUAUCAUUAUAAAUUUGAAGAGAAACCAGCACUAAACAAGACAGAAGAUAGGAAAGUGUACAAUAUUGAUCUCCUAAGACAAUUUCAGGUCAUCUUUUACAUUUAGCUGCUUUCUGACUACAAUAUUGUACCCAGAAGUUUUUGGAAACAGUUUAUGUAAAUUAUGGAAAUGUGAAGAAUCAUUUACAACUUUGAAUGUGGACGUUAACAAACAUAAAAAUCUUCUUGAUUAUUUGGAACAGUAUAUGAAAUGAAGGUGCAAAUGUAUAUUAUUGUAAAAUGUGAUAUAAAGUUAACACAGGAAAGCACUUGCUAUUUAAAAUAUUCCCUUUUGGUUUUGCAGCCAACUCAAACAAUUUUAAUAUGUCUGGGAAAAUGUACAAUUAUAUUCAGUGAUUAUUUUUAAUUUCUCUGGGACCUGGAUAUGGGACCUUACACAGUAGCAAUGCUGAUCAAGCAAGUAGUGGGAAUUAUUAUUAUUUUAUUUAUUUAUUUUGAGACAAUAGUCUUGCUCUGUAGCACAGGCUGGAGUACAGUGGUGCAAUCUUGGCUCACUGCAAGCUCCACAUCCCAGAUUCAUGCCAUUCUCCUGUGUCAGCCUCCAGAGUAGCUGGGACUACAGACACCUGCCACCAAGCCGGCUAAUUUUUUGUAUUUUUAGUAGAGAUGGCGUUUCACCAUGUUAGCCAGGAUGGUCUGGAUCUCCUAACCUGGUGAUCUGCCCGCCUGGGUCUCCCAAAGUACUGGGAUUAUAGGCAUGAGCCACCGUGCCUGGCUUAUUAUUCUUGUAUUAUUCAAAGAUGGUAGCCAAUGACUCAGAUCACUGGUAUAAAUUUGAUGAUGGAGAUGUAACAGAAUUGAAAAUAGAAGAUGAUAAAGAAAUUUAAAAAGUCAGUGUUUUGGUGGAGAGUACACAAAUGUAUUUGAUUACACACUGAAGUGCAUGUCAUAGAGAUGAGAGAAGAGAUGGUGAAAUGCUUGUGUACUUAUUUUUAAUAAGCAAAUGGACAUGAUAGAUGAAGGUGAUGAGAUGGUAAGAUAUAUAUUAUGACUAACUUUUGCAAUACCACAUCACAUCAUUACAUCACCAGCCAUUGAGAGAAGUGUAUAGAAACAAAAUGUGAAAUUUAUCCAUAAUGGAAUAAAAGUAUUUACAUUAAUCGUGUUUAUUUAAAUCUGCCUAAAGCACAAGAAAUUACUAUGAUUAGUAUACAAAUUGCUGGUAUAUUCCACAUCACCACUGGAUUUCACACCAAAAAAAAUAGUUUGUGGUCCUGCCAGUGACUUGUACAUGGCUUUG